UCGGGAAUUUUGGGCAAUGGGCGAAAGCCUGACCCAGCAACGCCGCGUGAAGGAUGAAGUAUUUCGGUAUGUAAACUUCGAAAGAAUAGGAAGAAUAAAUGACGGUACUAUUUAUAAGGUCCGGCUAACUACGUGCCAGCAGCCGCGGUAAUACGUAGGGACCAAGCGUUGUUCGGAUUUACUGGGCGUAAAGGGCGCGUAGGCGGCAAUUCAAGUCAUCUGUGAAAUCUCCGGGCUUAACUCGGAACGGUCAGAUGAUACUGCUUUGCUAGAGUGCAGAAGGGGCAAUCGGAAUUCUUGGUGUAGCGGUGAAAUGCGUAGAUAUCAAGAGGAACACCUGAGGUGAAGACGGGUUGCUGGGCUGACACUGACGCUGAGGCGCGAAAGCGUGGGGAGCAAACAGGAUUAGAUACCCCAGUAGUCCCUGAGCGGGCUGGCAAGGCGCAU
rnacentral:rRNA from 1 species